rnacentral:lncRNA from 1 species
UGUCUCACAAGCUUUUAUCCCUUACCUUUCCCAAAAGCACGGAUUUUUAAAAGAGUGCUAUGAUAGCUAAAAGUCCACACAACUUAAGCCAUAAAUACCAGAAAACGUCAAGCCUUCACAUGUGACCAUUAAUAAAUUAAUGUUCCACUCCUAAAUGUUUAAGAAACAGCAAGAACAGAAUUCAUUACUUGGGGACAGGAGGUUGUUUUGUUUGAUGGUUUUUUAAGACAGGGUUCCUCUGUAACUCCCCUGGUUGUUCUGGACCUUGCUUUGUAGCCCAGACUGGUCUGGAAUUCACAGAAAUCCUCCUGCCUCUGUCUCCCGAGUGCUGAGAUUAAGGGGAAGGCAGUAGAAUGCAUGAUUUUUAUGGUACAAGUGUUACUCACCAACUCACAGAUCAGUCUGUGAAAUCAUUUCUUCUCAUUUUUUCCUUCCUAUGAGUUCUCUCAUUACAAAAAAGGGCAGACUUACCUGCCCUGACACUUGAAGCACAAAGCACACUUCAUAUUCAGGAUGCCUUGAGGCGUAAGGGUGAGUUGUUUUUAUAAGUCUAAAAUCAGCUGCUCCCAAAUUCUUUUGUUAUUACAGCCUAAUCUUAGAGCUAUGCUUUUACUGACUACAUAAAGGAAAACAACAUCUUGCCUUGCAAAUGUUCUGACUUGUUUUUAUAUGAAACUGAUGUAUUAAAAUAAGACUGGCCAAGCUUUCCAAGGACCUCUGAACUAGCUCUCAGGAAAACCUGUUAGCUCGGAAAUGUGUGUCUGUUGGCCAUUCUCUCUUCUGUGUGCUGUGUCAAUGGUCUUCCCAUAUGUUUGUAUUUUACUUCCCAUACUCAAUUUAAUGCAAAAGAUCUGGAAUAUGUAUAAAUUGCCCCUACACAAAUGGAGACACAGCUCUGUGAUAGGAUGCUUACCUGCCAUUCAUGAGGCCCUGGGUUCGACCGUUAGCUUUAGGGUGGGCGACGGGGACUAAAAGUAACCAUUAUAGUUUCCAUGUGUCUUUAGAGAAAUAUUUUCAUGUCUUUAGUGACCUGAAAUCUAUUUGCCUACAAAGAGUUUGGUAUUUGUCACAGAGGACAUUUUUAUUUUCGUAUGAAAUUUUCAAGUAGUUAAAAGUGCUUCCUUGUGAGCCAGGGAACAAAGACUCCUUACCCUACCACAGAGAACAAUGGGAGACUUGUCCUAGGAUUCAGGGAUAAUAGUAAUUAAUUUCAUCCGAAGUCAGACUUUCUCUGUGUUUUUCAGUUUCUUCGAUUCCCAAGGCUACCGUUGACUCCAUUAUUAUUCACCAGGGAGUGGUAAAAUGUGUCUUCCAUUCAAACUGUUGAUGGGUGAUGACACGGACCUAGGAAUCUUUAUGAAGGUUUGGUUUAUUAUUCACUUUUAAGUGUAAGAAAACAAUAUUAUAUAGUCUUUCUCCCUCUCCCUCCCCCACGCUCCCUGCCUCUCUCUUUUUCCCUGUGCAACCAUAAAGGUAUUUUAAGCACAGUUGAAAUGUUCAGUCGAUUUCUUUUUCUUCUAACCUUGCAGCUUUCGCAGUUUUUAUAUCCUAGCAUGAACUUAGGAUAAUUUAUUUCAUAGACUUUUCUAUAUUGACAGAAACUUUGUCUCAUGAAGACAUAGCUAGUAUCCAAAGGAUUUUUUUUCCCCUUAAGAUUGUAAACUUAUGAGUAUAAACCAUUUAGGUGAAGAAUUAAAUAAAACCCACAUGAUAAAGUUGAUUUACAGCACAAAAAGAAUUCAGUAGGUGUUCCUAACUAUUUACCCGGACAUUUUCUUACUGUAUGCAAAUGGAAAAACACCUUCAAAAGCUCUUGUCUAGGUUUCUCUUGCCAGUGGCAUCUUACAGACCUCUGCAUGGUACAAAGGUGUUCUAUUGCUUGGUCAGUUCCUAGUUUCCUUUCGAGAAUAAUUGACUCUGUGUUUCUUGUUCUCUCUCUGUUGCCUAAUGAAUUCUCAUGGGGAAUUCAAGAAUGUGUGAUUAACUUACUUCUUCAAAAAGAUUUAUUUAUUUUAUGUGUAUGAGUAGACUGUAGCUGUCUUCAGACACACCAGAAGAGGGCAUCAGAUCCCAUUACAGAUGGUUGUGAGCCACCAUGGGGCUGCUGGGAAUUGAACUCAGAACCUUCGGAAGAGCAGCCAGUGCUUUUAACCGCUGAGCCAUCUCUCCAGGCCCAUGAUUAAUCUACUUUUAGAGAUUAUCAAAUACCACAGGUGACCUCUGUGCUCUCUCCAUAAAUAUAUAUAUAUGUGUGUGUGUGUGUGUGUGUAUGUAUAUAUAUUCAGCUAUAUCAACCAUAAAAGAAUUGUAUUUUAAACCACAAGACGAAAGACCCUGCGUUAUUUUAGGUAUCCAUAAGAUGUUUGCCUCACUAAAUAGGAUGGGUACCUAGAGUGAGGAGAUACCAUGAUGAGGGCCGAAACCAUCAGUGGGACAAAACCUUUCCAGCACCAGACACCUGGGAAAGCUUCUGCUAACUUAGGUGCAGAUUAACAAACAAAAACCUAACGAGAUCCCUUCACAUGAAGUUCCUGCGUUUGCUGCGUUUGCGUCCUACCAGAUCUGGAGUUUUGUCAAGUCCAUUACAGACGAGAGACACAGAAGUCUGGGACUCACUGCUGUUGCUGGGUAUGCUGCUCCCUCAGAGAAAAAUGGAGUGAUUGGGGUGAUGAAGGAGGGGGGGCUGUGUGGGAUGAGAAAGGGGUGGUUGGUGGCAGGAGUGUGAGGCUAUGAGAGGAGAGAAUAAAGGUGUUGCUCACGGCC